UACGUAGGGUCCGAGCGUUGUCCGGAAUUACUGGGCGUAAAGGGCUCGUAGGUGGCCAACUAAGUCAGACGUGAAAUCCCCAGGCUUAACCUGGGAACUGCGUCUGAUACUGGAUGGCUUGAAUUCGGGAGAGGGAUGCAGAAUUCCAGGUGUAGCGGUGAAAUGCGUAGAUAUCUGGAGGAAUACCGGUGGCGAAGGCGGCAUCCUGGACCGAGAUUGACACUGAUGAGCGAAAGCCAGGGGAGCAAACGGG
rnacentral:rRNA from 1 species